rnacentral:misc_RNA from 1 species
UUCCACCUAUGGGAUAAAAUAGUGAGACUCAGGAUGGGGCAGGCCAAAGUGGAUAAUUUCUCUAGUGGUUGGAGCAAGGCAUUACAGAUGGUAUCAGAGCUGGACCCCAUUUAGUAGAUGUGUGGUUCGAGGAAGAACCAGGCAGAAAUUGGUGGACUUGUGAUGACCUAACCCGGAAAAGCGGUCUGAUGAGGGCUGAGAGUGACAUAAGAGAGUAAACUCCCAGCGGGCUUCUAGGAUGGCGAGGCUACAUAGGGUAGUGGAAUGCGGGGCACAAGAAUGAAUCAAA